AUUAAAUACAGUCAACCAAUAGACCAAAGAAAAUCUCUGAAAAUCUUUUUACAAUCUAAAAAAAAUUCUCAGUAUGUCAUUUUCUUCAUUUUUUUUUAUUACAUUAAAAUAAAUCUCAGGUGAAGAAAUUCAAAUUAAACAUCAUUGAAUAUUGAAAAAAAUCUCAUUUUUCCAUCUCGAUUUCCAUUAACGUGGAUAGUUUUUAUUAUAAUCUGGUUUGGGAUGUCAUUGGGUAUGUGGUCUUAAGGACAUAUAUAUCACUGAACAACCUCGUAAGUUUUUAUUAUUACUACUUUUUUCAUCUGUAUUCAUUUAUAUUUUUUUGGAAUUAACAUGUAGUAACACACUACUUUAUCAAGUCCACUACAUGUUGGCCUCCUCGAAAAGCUGUGCUAGCAGCCUUUUCUAAAGCAGCAGGUGUUAAUAUACUUAUUUAAAUGCAGUGGCUCCCAUAAAAUGCGAAUUAAUUCACAUAACAUAAUCAAAAGAUUGCAAUCUAGUACUCAUACAGAAGAUCAACAGUCCAGUAUAACGUGAUGUGGAUAAGACUAAUAUGGUUAACUUUAUCUUCAAAAAGGACAUUACCCCUCAACGACGGUACUGAACACAGAGGAAUGGUGCUGCGAUUCUGAACACUGCUGAUAGCACCGUGUUUCAAAUUAGAUUACCAUACAUGUGAUCUAUACAGCUGAAGGCUUAGCUAUUGAGGUUAUAAAAUAACAACAGAACACUGCAACCUAUGGACAGCCCGUUUGCUUUCUGCAGUUAUAGGUAACAGCAGUAAGGACUCAUUGAUUACAGCAAUCAACAGUUUGAUGGUUAUAGGUAAAAAAGGUGCGGAAAAGUUCCUGAUUUGUGUAUAAGCUCAUAGCAGCAAUAAGUACGACCAAGUUGA